rnacentral:rRNA from 1 species
AGCCAGCCGUCGAAGGUGGGGCUGAUGAUUGGAGUGAAGUCGUAACAAGGUAGCCGUAUCGGAAGGUGCGGCUGGAUCACCUCCUUU